rnacentral:rRNA from 1 species
AGGGUUCGAUUCUGGCUCAGGAUGAACGCUGGCGGCGUGCUUAACACAUGCAAGUCGAACGGGAUCCCUGGCAGCUUGCUGCCGGGGUGAGAGUGGCGAACGGGUGAGUAAUGCGUGACCGACCUGCCCCAUGCACCGGAAUAGCUCCUGGAAACGGGUGGUAAUGCCGGAUGUUCCACAUGAGCGCAUGCGAGUGUGGGAAAGGCUUUUUGCGGCAUGGGAUGGGGUCGCGUCCUAUCAGCUUGUUGGUGGGGUAACGGCCUACCAAGGCGUUGACGGGUAGCCGGCCUGAGAGGGCGACCGGCCACAUUGGGACUGAGAUACGGCCCAGACUCCUACGGGAGGCAGCAGUGGGGAAUAUUGCACAAUGGGCGCAAGCCUGAUGCAGCGACGCCGCGUGCGGGAUGGAGGCCUUCGGGUUGUAAACCGCUUUUGUUCAAGGGCAAGGCACGGUCUUCGGCCGUGUUGAGUGGAUUGUUCGAAUAAGCACCGGCUAACUACGUGCCAGCAGCCGCGGUAAUACGUAGGGUGCAAGCGUUAUCCGGAUUUAUUGGGCGUAAAGGGCUCGUAGGCGGUUCGUCGCGUCCGGUGUGAAAGUCCAUCGCUUAACGGUGGAUCCGCGCCGGGUACGGGCGGGCUUGAGUGCGGUAGGGGAGACUGGAAUUCCCGGUGUAACGGUGGAAUGUGUAGAUAUCGGGAAGAACACCAAUGGCGAAGGCAGGUCUCUGGGCCGUUACUGACGCUGAGGAGCGAAAGCGUGGGGAGCGAACAGGAUUAGAUACCCUGGUAGUCCACGCCGUAAACGAUGAGUGCUAGGUGUCGGGGAGGAAUCCCCGGUGCCGCAGCUAACGCAAUAAGCACUCCACCUGGGGAGUACGACCGCAAGGUUGAAACUCAAAGGAAUUGACGGGGGCCCGCAC